rnacentral:sRNA from 1 species
UACCACAUAGGAACAGAACACCCUCAUGCUUCACACGAGCCCGCAGGGCGUUUCGAUAUGAGCAUGACGAAUAUCAAGCUUCUUUCACAAAGUCUUCUACAAAGAGCCAUACGCAGGAGACAGCAGGUUUACCAAACAACACCAAAAAAUAAUAAUCUUCACACUGUCGACAUUGCGAUGCGUACGGCGAACAGGCCCAUUCACAGAAAAUCAGCCAGGUAACUCCAGACGGAGUUGAGAGUAACAGCCCACCGCCAGAAAUCCUUCGCAUUUGCCAGCUGCAAAACAUGCAGGUGCG